UAACUGCGAGUGAAGCGGGAAAAGCUCAAAUUUUGGAUCUGGCGGUCUUUUCACAGGCCGUCCGAGUUGUAAUCUAGAGAAGCGUCUUCCGCGCCGGACCGUGUACAAGUCUCCGGAAGGGAGCGAUAGAGGGUGACAAUCCCGUCUCUGACAUAGACCACCGGUGCUAUGUGAUGUGCUCUCGACGAGUCGAGUUGUUUGGGGAAUCAGAGCUCAAAACGGGUGGUAACUGCCAUCUAAAGCUAAAUAUUCGUCGAGAGACC
rnacentral:rRNA from 1 species